rnacentral:rRNA from 1 species
GGUCUCCGUUGGUGAACCAGCGGAGGGAUCAUUACCGAGUUUACAAACUCCCAAACCCCUGUGAACUUAUACCACAAACGUUGCUUCGGCGGGUUUUACGCCCCGGAACGCCGCCCCCUCAGGGGACCGGCACCGGAUCCAUGGCGCCCGCCGGAGGACCCAAACUCUUCUGUAUUUUACAAUGCAUGUCUGAGUGGAUUUAAUAUCAAAUGAAUCAAAACUUUCAACAACGGAUCUCUUGGUUCUGGCAUCGAUGAAGAACGCAGCGAAAUGCGAUAAGUAAUGUGAAUUGCAGAAUUCAGUGAAUCAUCGAAUCUUUGAACGCACAUUGCGCCCGCCAGUAUUCUGGCGGGCAUGCCUGUUCGAGCGUCAUUUCAACCCUCAAGCCCUGCUUGGUGUUGGGGAUCGGCGUUGCCUCCUCCGUCGUUCGCGGCGGGGUGAGGUCGCCGCCCCCGAAAUGAAUUGGCGGUCUCGUCGCAGCUUUCCUUUGCGUAGUAACAUACCACCUCGCAACCAGGAGCGCGGCGCGGCCACUGCCGUAAAACGCCCAACUUUUUCAAGAGUUGACCUCGAAUCAGGUAGGAAUACCCGCUGAACUUAAGCAUAUCAAUA